GAAAGAGAGAGAGAGAGAGAGAGAGAGGCGCGCUGGGAAAACCUGGAUCUGGAUUAACUGGAGUUGCGAGCUCCACCUACAGCUUGGCGCCCUCGAGUGAGCCGGGGAAGGGGUGAGGAGGAACAGCAAGAAGAAAUGUAAUAUCCUUGAAGAUAAAAUCUGCCGAGUACAAAUAACACUUUUGGUGCAUUUUUGGAAACUGGACUACUGAAUUUUUAAUGAUGUUCUGAGUCUUUUGCUUCUUUAUUUACUGAUGUUGCCCAUGACUUACAUGGCUAUGGAAGAAAUGUUUUCUCCUGAGGAGUUCAGCAAUCCAUUGCCAUACAGGAAAUAUAUCUGAUCAAGACUGCACAGGAAGCUACAGUAAACUGGAAUGCAAACAAAAAACAUUGGCUUAUAGAGUUUCAUCAGUGCCCUGAUUAACUCAUGCUUGACAGUGGUCGCUUUAUAUGCGGGAUUGAGAGGGUCAUCGUAGUGCCUGUGCUGAGAUGUUGAGGAUCAAAGAGACUGCGUGUUGAACAUCAUCUUGGAGUAAUUGAAGGCGCCAGCUUGUAGUUUUUCUAUUGGCUGGGAAUACAGUAACAAAUUAAACAACCUGAAGUGAAUUGCUCAGAUUUCAAACACGUUCAAAAGACAUCCAGUUCAGUCACAGGAAUACCUUGCCAUACAAUGGCAAAGAAUGUUUUUUAAAUAUUUUAAUGGUUUUAUUAUUUUCAUUGUUUUAAACUGUUUUUAUGAUUUUAAUAGUAAUAUAUGUUUUUGAAUUGCGAGCUGACCAGACUUGUUUUCUGAGAUGGGUGGCUAUAAAAAUUAAAUAAAUAAAUAAGAAUUCAAAUAGACUUUUCAGGUCUAUUUAUGAGCACAACUUGCUCAGCUGUGUAGGAUGAGUGUUCAGUGUCCUGAGAUGAGCAACUUCAAUAACAGUCACAUAUCAUAGAUGUAUUGACAGAACUCCUUGUGAAAACAGAUAUUCCAGAACAGUCACCAACAAGAGUUUCAGAAAUUCCUGAAAAAGAAUGGAAUGCCAACACUCAGUCACCAGCUACCAAUAUAUUGAUUGAAAGAUUUGUUCAGACAUUUUAAUAAUUUGAAAGCCAUAACUGGAGAACACAACAUACCAAAAUCAAAUGUUUGCAAAUUUUCAAAUUGUAUAUUGCAGUACAGUUUCUGCAACAGCAAAUCCAACACCAGCAAUGUUAUUCUUAGGUCAUUCUUUACAUUCAAGAUUACAUUUUCUCAGCUUUGAGAAAUGUUCAGAAUAAGCAGCAGAAACAAACUGAGUCCUUUUCAUAUUGAAACUGAUUUACUAUCCAGCUAAAGAAAACGGGGGUACAGUAAGAAGAAAUUGUGGCUAAGACAGUAGGAAACUCAACUAUGAUUCCUAAGUUAUCACCAGUAGCAACUUGCCCAUUAAUUAGGCACAUGAUGGUUCUUUCAUAAUUGUAAAUACUGCCAGGUAGCCUAAGCAUUCCAGACUCUGAUAAUGGACAUUACCUAAUUUAUAUAUGAAAACAAUCAGAGCAAUAUAAAUAUAACCAUGUCUCUGAUUUUUUAUUUUGACCUGCCUGUAUAGGCUGCAAAUUAUGCCGCUCCCUGGAGUUUUGGUAAACAAAAUAAAGGAAAACAAAACCACCCUAUUCCUGUUUAAGACAUCUGGAUAUACUUUACCUGAAUCCUACUGAGGAAAGCAUCUUGCAGGAAAUCCUAGUAAGCUGAUUAGGAAAGAGAAGAUGGUUACUUAGCUGCUCAUUAUAUUCAUUAGCAUCCAUCAUGGCAAAGAACCUAAACUAAAAUAUGUGUCUGACUUUCCUUGUGCAUUCUGUAUAAUCUGCAUAAUACAUACAUUUUUGCAGAGAUGAGAUGAUAUUUGAUGAUAGUUGUUUAUCAUAUUCACUUGCAGAAGGCUGCAGUGACCAGGCAGGAAGUAAGAUUGGCAGUGGGUGGCCCAGUGUUGUGCUUAUUCGCUUCCUUCCUUCAAGGUCAAUUCAAGUCUGAUGAUCAGGGAGAAGAGGUCCCAUCCUCAGCCUCUACUAAGUGGGAUACCAUAGGCUUUGGUAUUGUAUCAUUUCUUCUUUAACAUCCACAUGCUUGAUGAGUCCAUCCGUCGCCAUGGGUUGAGGUAUCAUUUGUAUGCUGAUGAAAUCCAUUUGAACAUCCCCCACCCCUGGUGAAUUAAGCAAUGUCGUGAAUAUCUUAUCUCAGUGUCUGCAGGCUGUGAGGGUCUGGAUCGAGAAUACCAGGCUUCUGAUGAACCUACUGGUUCCAGGAUUUUGCCAUUUUUAGUGCUGGAUGGGGUGGCACUGGCCCAGAUAGAUACAGUGUGCCAUCUGGGAGUCCUCCUAAAUUCAUGACUCCUACUUGAUUAGCAAGUGGCGGUCAUGGCUAGAAGGGAUUUUGCACAGCUUUGUCUUGUGCGCUAGUUGCACGGGUUCCUGAAUCAGCAAACCCUGCUUACAAUCAGUCAUGCCCUAGUCACUCCACUUUUGACUACCACAGUGUGCUUUAAAUGGGGCUGCCCUUGAGAAAUAUCUAGAAGCUUCAGCAACAAUACAGGCAAUUAUGUAUAGUCAUAGAACAGCGCAUGUUAUAGCUCUACUUCGUCAGGUCCAUUGGCUGCCAGUUUGCUUCAGGUCCCAUUCAAGGUGUUGGUUUUAAGAUUUAAAGGUGGGCAAUCUGAGAGAUCACCUAUCCCAGUUACAUCAGCUCACCACAUUAGAUCUACAGAGAGGGCAUUCUGCAAGUACCAUCAUUAGAGAGCUGCAUUUGGGUGGUCCCAGGGAACAUGCCUCUUUGCCAUGACACAUGACCUAUUGAGCAUUCUUGCCUCCAAGAUUAGAUUAGCUCCAUCUCUUUGACAUUCUAGAAGUCCUUCGAGACCUGAUUAUGUUAUCAGGCCUGAAGCUCCUGGGGAACUAAAUAAAAAAGGAAAAAAGUGGAUCCAGGAAACUACAGACCAAUCAGCCAGACAUCAACACAUGGGAAGAUCUUAGAAAAUCAAGCAGUGCAUUUGUGAGCAGCUAGAAAUGAACAAUGCAAUUAUUAGAAGCCAACAUGGGUUUGUCAAAAACAGAUCAUGCCAGACAAACCUUAUUGCCUUCUUUGAUAAAGUGACUAAAUUAGUGGAUAAGGGAAAUGCAGGGGACAUCGUUUACUUAGGAUUAAGUAAGACAUUUGACAGCCUAUUUCUUAAUAAAAUAGAAUAAUAUGGAAUAGACAAUACCACUACCAGAUGGAUUUGAAACUACAUGCACUUAGCAUGUAGUCCUCAAUGGAACCACAUCUACAUGGAGGGAAGCAUGCAGUGAGGUACCUCAAGAUUCUGUCUUAUGCCCAAUAUUCUUCAACAUCUUCAUAAAUGAUCUAGAUGAGGGGAUAGAAGGGGACCAUCAAAUUUGCAGAUAACACAAAGCUGGCAGGAAUAGCCAACUUUAGAUAAUAAACUCAAGGUUCAGAAAUUCCUUGGCAAACUUGAACACUGGGCCCUAUCCAACAAAAUGCAAUUCACUUGUGAGAUCACACUUUGAAUACUGCAUCCAGUUUUGAUCAGCAUGAUACAGAAAAGGUGUUGAAACCCUAGAAAGAAUGCAGAGAAGAGCAACAAAGAUGAUAAGGUAUCAGGAGGGUAAACUAGUGAACAAUUGAGGGAACUAGGUAUGCCUAAUUCAAUGAAGAGAAGGAAUAGAAGUGUUAUGACAACUGUCUUCCGGUACUUGAAGGACUGUCAUAGAGAAGAAGGGGUCUACCUAUUCCCCAAAGCACCUGAGGGCAGAACAAGAAGUAAAUGGUUGA